UUUAAAAAUUGGUAAAUGGGGUAGUAAAGUCUUUUAAGCAGAGAAAAUAACAAUAAAAGCAAAUUUGGUAUGAAAGGGUAUUUGGAGAGCAAGAUGGGUGAUUCAACAAAAUAUUUCCAUCUUAGCACAGAAGGUAAAAGGUUUAAUCGUCGAAAAAGCCGACUUCAUGAAAUGCCUUCCAUAAACGGCUGGCUUUGUUUACGUCAACUCGACUAGCCCUUUGAGCAUCAGUUUUUCGAAAAGUAAGUCCUUGUUGACGACGAUGAUGCCAUUCCGCAAAUAUUCUUUUUUUGUUAUCAAGAUAAAUCAAACAUGGAAGACGAAGAGUCGAAGCCAAAUGUAAUUCAGCAGGGUGCAAGAGAUCGCGAUAAGGGUCAUCACUAAGGUCCAAAGGCGGACCUUUCCACUCAGCUUUUAGUGUACGAGGAUGCGUACGGUUGUCCAGUACAGACAUGUCAGGACAGAAAUUCGGCAACUCUUCAAAGGGAAGGUUGGCAACAUCGAUGGCACCAUUAAGCCCAUUUCCACGAGCCGAUUUUCUUCUACGGGCCUCAAUAGUGGAAGGACUAGAAGAGAUGCUUCUUUCAGCAGACCGGAGAGCACCGCUGUAACUUGGUGACGAGUCUCGAGAAGAGACACUACUGCGUCCGCGAGAGCCAGAAGAUGAAGAGACAUUGGAAUGCCUGUUAGCCCAUCGACCUACAUGAUUAUUACGACGAGCUUUAGGAAUUGGAUGAAUCCGUUUACGACGCAACCAUAUUAAUUCUUGCUGCAACCAAAGUUUCGGUUGAUUUUUGUAAACUUCGUAAACAAUUCCUUUCAUGCAAGCUCGCAUGCCAUGUCUC